CAUGUUAUGACCAGGCCAAGCAGCUCGUGCUGGGAACAGGCAUGAUGGGAGAUAACAUAUUCACACACUUUCUUUCCAGCUUCAUUGCUGGAGGCUGUGCCACGUUCUUAUGUCAACCUCUGGAUGUACUAAAGACGAGGCUGAUGAACUCUAAGGGAGAGUACACAGGGGUGACACAUUGCUUACGAGAAACUGCCAGACUCGGUCCACUGGCAUUUUAUAAGGUAAAAAACAGUCCUGCACACUACACAUUAUCAC